GUGUCUCUAUUCCCGGCGCAUGCGCAUUACGGUUAUGGUAAUUGUGUUGAUAUGUCUGCUGCUGGAUUUUAAAGAUUAUUUCUGCAGGUUUUUUGUUUUGCAGAGACUGUCCUGCUGCGGUCUGAGCUGAUGGAAAACUCCAGAGACUUGGUGGAACGGUCGUCCAGGAAACGCAGAGACUCUUUUGGAAUGCUGGAUGGUUUGGAAGAGGACCGGAGCAGCUGCAGUACAGAAUCCAGCGGAGGAAGCGGAGCCUCCAGCCCUGAGGACAGCGAGGACGAAGACCUAGGAGGAGGAGGAGGAGGGGUGACUCAACUCCCUCCCUCCUCCUCCUCACUGACACUCAUCAAGACCAACGGGCAGGUUUACACCUACCCUGAUGGAAAGGCAGGCAUGGCUACAUGUGAGAUGUGUGGCAUGGUCGGAGUCAGAGAUGCUUUCUACAGUAAAACCAAGCGGUUCUGCAGUGUGUCCUGCUCCAGAAGUUACUCCUCCAACUCCAAGAAGGCCAGCAUCCUCGCCCGACUACAGGGGGAGCUGGUCUCUGUCUCUCAGACCUGUCUCUGUGUUUUAAAGGGGAAACCUCCUACUAAGAAAGCCAAGGUUCUGCAGAAACAACCCCUCAUAACCAAACUAGCCACCUACACUCAAUCCAACCAGCAGAGUGGCGUUAAGAAGAGCAUUUCUGUGGAAGUGUUUGACUGGGGUCGUUACCUUGGAGAUGGCGAUGUCACGGGGGCACCAGUCAGCUGCUUCAAGCAUGUGCCAAUGGGGAAGUCGUGGGGCGACAUCACUGAAGGCAUUCGAGUUGAAGUGCCAAACACUGACAGCAGCCUGCCAAUGAAGGUUUACUGGAUUGCUGGCAUCAUUAAACUGGCUGGAUUCAAGGCCUUGAUGCGCUACGAAGGUUUCGACAGUGACUCCACUAGAGAUUUCUGGUUAAAUCUGUGUGUGCCGGACAUUCACCCAGUCGGCUGGUGUGCAGCUGGUGGGAAACCUCUGGUCCCCCCACAAACCAUCCUGCACAGGUUCAACAACUGGAAAACAUUUCUGAUUAAACGACUGACUGGAUCCAAAACACUCCCACCAGACUUCUCCUCCAAGGUACAGGAGAGCAUGCAGUUUCCCUUCAGGAAGCAGAUGAGGGUGGAGGUUGUGGAUAAAACUCACCUAUGUAGGACUCGGGUGGCUGUGAUUGAACAGGUGAUCGGCGGCCGUCUCCGGCUCGUGUAUGAGGAAUGUGAUGACGGGACCGACGACUUCUGGUGUCACAUGCACAGCCCUCUAAUUCACAGCAUCGGCUGGUCUCGGUCCAUCGGACACCGCUUCAAACGAUCCGGUUGGUCAGCUGACGAUUCACCAUCUGCCCACUCUAGUAAUUAUGUAGCCAAGAAGCUGGAUGGUCUGAUGGACGCUCCUGGACAGUUGUUCGCUAAGGUGAGGGAGGUGGAUCCGGAGGGUGCGUGGUUUGAAGACGGCAUGAAGCUGGAGGCCAUCGACCCCCUGAACCUGUCUGCUAUCUGUGUGGCUACGGUCAGAAAGGUCUUGGCUGAUGGGUACCUGAUGAUUGGUAUUGAUGGCUCGGAGGCAGCUGAUGGUUCAGACUGGUUCUGUUAUCAUUGCACGUCUCCCUCCAUCUUUCCUGCCGGCUUCUGUGAGAUCAACAACAUUGAGCUGACCCCACCUAGAGGUUAUACCAAUCUUCCCUUCAGGUGGUUUGAGUAUAUGAAGGAGAGUAAUUCUGUGGCAGCUCCAGUAAAUCUCUUCAACAAGGAUGUGCCUAACCACGGUUUCCGCCCGGGUAUGAAGCUUGAGGCUGUCGACCUCAUGGAGCCCCGACUGGUCUGUGUUGCUACAGUGACCCGCAUCGUUCACCGGUUGCUGCGGAUACACUUUGACGGCUGGGAGGAUGAGUAUGACCAGUGGGUGGACUGUGAAUCACCUGACCUGUACCCAGUUGGCUGGUGUCAGCUAACUGGAUACCAGCUGCAGCCUCCUGCUGUCAAUGCAGGUUUCAGAGAUCUACAGUCAGCUGUGUCCAAGCAGAGGAAGAAAUCUCAACAAUACAAAGGACAAAAGAAAAGUAAAGCGGAAGCUUCCCAUUACCAAGCGACCUGUGAGUCUCUCCAGUGUCCUGGUAACAGGCGUACCCAGGAGCUUAUCCGGAGAUGAAAAUGAGACUCCGCCCGAUUACCCGUCACCACCUACCCCCUCCUCGGCAGCCCAGCCCUCCUCUGUCCACCCAGACAGCAGCCCCAAUGCUGACGGGGGAGCAGCUUCACAGAUUAAAGAAGAGAGCAUGGAAGGGACAGAGUUAUCUUCUGAAAGGACAGGAACCGCAACCAAUGGGUCCUCGGGGGGAGACUUUUUCACCAGCCAGGACCACUAGUAGGCCUUAUCCACCCCUCACUCACUUUGAUCUUCCUAUCCCCAUCCCUUCAUAAAGUUUCUACAAUAUGAGUUUUUAUGAAUCGUGAUCAUCAAUAAACAUUUUACUGCUUCACAUGGCUGGUACCCACACACAUCAGCAAUAGAAGCUAAGUGAUUAACUAAAGGGUUGAUGGGUGUGUAACGUUGAAGCAUGGGAGUGUCCUGCUGACUUUAAUGUUCAGUCCACUCUAUCCACGGUGUCCGCUUUCUCACUUCACCUAUUAUUCUUCCACAACAACUUACCCUCCACAGGCCAGAUCACUGUAGGAGAUGUUAGUGCCACAAAGGAGGAACAAAAAAAGACGAAUGAUUUAUCAUUUGCAGCUUUGUGCCUCUGUGGGGAUGAAAGGGAUCAGGAGCCUUUUUACAUUUGUGUAUAAGGAUUUUUUUUCACUGCCAAGAUCUUUGUAUGUUGAAGAGUCAAAGCUCUUAACAUAAUGAACCAGAAGAAUAGUAAUAAUAAUAUUGUGUCAUGUUGAGAUUAGCAGUAAUUUAAAAAACUGGACUGUGUGUGUGUGUGUGUGUGUGUGUGUGUGUGUGUGUGUGUGUGUGUGUGUGUGUGUGUGUGUGUGUGUGUGUGUGUGUGUGUGUGUGUGUGUGUGUGUGUGUGUGUGUGUGUGUGAGAGAUGUUGUGUUUGAAGAACAAACCAGCAAGAGAAACAACCGCUUUGUUUUCUAAGGCACUGAUAAAAUGGCUGAGUUCAGUAGGAAUCUCAAAAUCUGCCAAAUGUGUGUUUUUACUGCAAAUACAGAUUGAUGAAAAUGUCUCAAGAGUAGCUCAAUGUUGCAUUUGUGUUCACAUUGGAUUUCUGGGUGUCGACACUGCAGCUGUGAAGUUUCACACAAGAACAACUUCAGAUGUGAAACAAAUUAUUGGUUACUUUUCAUUCA